UUAGGGCUUUGACAGGGCAGCUGUGACCACAGGGCAGUACAGUCCACCUUGUAGAGGAUGGAUUGGUGGUGGUCUUGGAGUUGUGCAGUGCACGGCCUGCGAAACUGUACCUAGCAGUCCUGGCUGUGAAGGGCUAAGUGACAUCAUGCCAUCAUGCCUGUCAAUCCAUUAGCAUAUGAAGAGAUCAUCAAAUGUUGGCCAUUAUUAUCUGCAUUUUUUGAUUUGUUUUGAGACAGGGUCUUGCUGUGUAGUCCACACUGGACUUGAGCUCAUUAUGUAGCCCAAGCUGUCCUCAAACUUGUAGUGAUCCUCUUGCCUCAGCUUUCCAAGUGUUGAGAUUACAGGUGUGCACUACCAUGCCUGGCUAUUAUUAUCUUUAUUUUUUUUUGUUAUCAUGAAGAACCGGCUGUCUUAUCUUUUUUUUUUUUUGGUACCGGGGAUCGAACCCGGGUCCUUGCACUUGCACAGCAGGCAGCGAAACCACUGAGCUAAAUCCCCGGCCCAGCUGUCUUAUCUUUGAAGCAGCAAGGAAUGGAAGAGCUGAGUAGGAAAGUCAUCUUUUCAUGUUUUCUUCUGUUAUUAAAGGUAACGAGCACUCAGUACAGAAAACCUGGAAAACGCAUAAGGAGACACAAAAUGACAAAAAAUAACAAGCCCACAUCCAGAACCACCCUUUUGACAUAUGGUGUAUGUUUUUCCAGGCUUUCAUUCCCUGUUUGUCUCUUUCACACAUUAGGAAAUUUUGCUUUCCUGUGGGAAGUCUGGCCUCCGCCCUCAGCUUUGAGGAGAGGACCCAGCACAGUGACCAAGAACAUGAAUUCUAUGUCUCCAUCACCUAGUUUCACAUGCCAGCUCUCACCUGCCUGCUGUGUGACCUUGGGCAAGACAGGUAAGCUCCCUGGGCUUCAGUGUUGUCUCUUGUAAAGUGUGCCUAAUGCGGAAGCAUUGUGAGCGUGACCUAAGUUAAUGCUUGCAAUGUUCCCAGAGAAGUACUUGGUUCCAAGUGUAUUGGUCGGGAGGAGAGGUUUAAUGGGCUCAGGGGAUGCAGUCCAUGGUCGGUUGCCCCAAGGCAGGAACAUCAUGGCGGAAGGGCAUGGUGGAGCAAAGCUACUCAGUUCCUGGCAGCUGGCAAGCAGAUCAGGGAGCAGAGCCUGAAAGGGAGGGUAGAGAGACCAGCUGAAGUCCCCAAGGCUGUGCCUCCAGGACCCACCCUGACACUCCCAGUAUGCUUUACUAAUCCCUUGGUGGUCCCCAAGUGAAUCCAGUUGACAGUUAAGCUUAACUAUCAAAGGGUUUGGCACAUCCUUGUCACAAGAGCAGCCCAUUUGGGGGACAGCACCUUUGGCUAUGCUGGUCCCUUACUGUUGGCCCUGCAGUUGGUUCCUAGUUUUUCCCCAUCCUAAAUAAUGUGGCUACAAUGUUUCUCAGUGUCUUUGAGUAUGUCUUUGGUUAUUUUAUGAAAAUAAAUUCCCAGAAAUGGUAUUUCUGGUUUAUAAAUAAUGCAUGUGGCAGAUCAUCCAAGUGUGUACUAAAGAAUGUGCCGGCAAAAUUGGCAGGGACAAGAAAGAGACAGGAGUCCCUGAGACCUUGGGAGGAGAACAGGGGAACAUGGGCACAGCCUAGGACUAGGAAAUGUGCUUUAGUUAUGGUUGUGGGGCUGCCCAUUUGAUGUCCUGGGGAUGUGGUCCUUGCCCUUUGGAGCUUUGGCCUUGUUGCCCAAAUUCUGGUCCUUGGAGAAUCCACCACCUUUUGUUUGUGUCUCAGAACCAGCUAUGGCAUAAGGUGAGGUAAGGUAAGACUUUGAAAUAUAUUUGCUUUUAAAAAAAUAAACACAUUUUUAAAAAUUAAUUAAUUAUUAAUUUGUUUUUUUGUUUGUUUUUUUUGGUAGCGGUGAUCGAACUUGGAUCCUUCCACUUUCAAGGCAGGCAGCGGGACCACUGAGCUAAAUCCCUGGGCCCUGUUUUUGGUUUUUUUUGAGACAGGAUCUUGCUAUGUAGUUUAGUCUGGCCUUGAAGUCACUGUGUAGCCCCAGCUGGCCUUGAACUUGAUGUGAUCUUCCUGCCUCAGCCUCCUGAGUGCUGGGAGGGCUCUGAGGUCCAGGCCUGCGCUUUGGUUGUUGGAGAGGGGUCCUCAAGUGAGCUACAGAGGUGGGAAAGGCUAAGGAGCACUGAGCUGAUACCUUCUCCUUAUUAUAAUUGGAAGGGCAGGAAGAAAACAGAAGGGAGAUUUUAAUUUUUAUUUAAACUAAUUGAUUUUUUUAUAAGCUGGGAGCGUGGGGUGGAGGAAGCUCGCAAUUUUCUGUUGAAGGAUCAAUCUAUGCAUUUUCUCCUACAUUUGUGCCUAAACCAUCAAGUCCCUGACUUUGGGAAACGCCAGCUGCCCCUACUCAGAAGAUCGUCACCCUCACCUUACCAAGAGGGCCCCUAACUGUUGCCCCCGGCUGGUACUGAGGAGCAGAGGAGUGGCCAGGAGGGGGAGCUGGGGCUUCUGGCUGGAAUGUCACACUGACUCCUCUGUCCCAGGGACAGGGACGGCCCCAGCACCAGGCAGCUGCAUCCUGGUCCGUCUUGGGCACACCUGCCCGUUCGACCGGGAUCUGGAGCCAGCCCCAAGUACUGACAGGCAGGCGGCUGGGCACCCUGGAUCACAGGGACCUGAUGAGGACAAGAGGCAGAACUUGAAGCACUGAUCCACUUGUCUGAGCCCUCAGAUGGAGACCAGAGAGAUUGGGCUGGGCAUGGGUGAGUGUGUUGGGGGACAUGAGGGUCUGUCCAGCAAGGUAGCCGGAUGCCUACCUUUCCGUGAGGGGGCUUCAGAAGCAGCUCCUUGCUGGAAGAAGGACCAGAACUCCUUUGUCAGAGAGCCCUGCACUAUUGUUUGAGAAAGCACUGGUCAUCUCCAUCCAAGAGCUGGCUGUGAGGCUGUCAUGGUUUGUGUUUGGCCCGAAGACCCUGAGAUGAAGAUAGCAGAGUGGAGAAGUGGUUCAGACGAGGGAAGGCAGCAAUGAAGUGUAUCGGGGAUGCUUGGGCCGGGGAUUUAGCUCAGUGGUUCUGCCGCCUGCCUUGCAAGCGCAAGGACCCGAGUGAUCCCCAGUACCAAAAAAACCCAACAAAAAAACCCCCAAACAACUAAGAAGACCUCAGACAACCCAGGGUGUGAUGGUCACCUUAACCUCAGGGGAAGAGCAACCAGGAUGCUAAAGCCCAUUUGUCACUGGUGGGGUUGCUCAGUGGCAGAGCACGUCCUUACCAAGCUUGCAGUCCUGGAUUCAAUUGCCUAGAACUAAAGAAAAAAACCAAACCAAAACAACAAUUAAACAGCAACAAAACCAGAAAGGCUAAAAAAUUUUUUACAGAUGAUAAAGACGUUUUGGACUUAGUGGUGGUGGUUCCACAUUGCAAAAUUUUAUGAAUAUGUUAAAAGACACUAAACUAUAUACUUUAGAAGGAUAAAUUUUAUGGGAUGUACAUUAUAAACCAUUUCAAAACUGACUCAGCCAAGCAUGGUAAGCCAUGCUUCUCAUCCCAGCUACUUGGGAGACAGAAGCAGGAGGAUCUCAAGUUCAGGCCAGCUGGGCCAACUUAGCAAGACCCAUAAAUACAUAAAUAAAUAAAUAAAAAUAAAGCUAGAUGAUAGAUCAGUGGAAUAGGAUUGGGAAUCCAGGUAUAACUCUUAUUUUUAUGACCCUUAACUUGAUUACAUCUGUGAAAACCUCUUUUUAAAUCACUAUACAAUCACAUUCGCAGCAGUUUCUUCAGAUUAGGACAUUUUUGUCACUCAUGGGGGUACCACACCCCCACCUUACAGAAGGGAAAACUGAGUUACUCAUUAGAGAAAUACAGUUAGUGACAGCAGGACAGAGAUGUGAACCUGGCCCAUCUGGCUCCAGAGCCCAUGUUGUGAAGCAAAAAGAAUGGAAGGGACAAGUCCAGGCCAGAUGUCUCCAGCUUCAUGGCGAGGGGUGCACAGGAGGAAAGAGACCAGUGUCACAACGACCAGUUAGGAGGAAGAUCCAGAAAGGAUCCAGAGAUAUCCAGAAAGACACCAAGAAAGACCUGGACUAAACUUAGUGAUAAAAUGAAGGGGGAGAAGGAGCAGAAAGCCUGGGUCCCAUCCAGUCAUUGCUUCCUCCUGGCCUUCCAUCUGCUGGGCCAAAUGGUCCACUGGGGCUUCCAAACAUAGUUUCACUGUUUCACUGGGGGCUGGAUGAUAAAGGUAUCACAGAGGGCUGUGACCUGUCCCCAGAAAGGAAGCUAGGACAUUUCUUACCUCUUUGCUUCUCUCUGGACAUACAUUUAAGUAAAACCAGAGAAGAUGACCCUCCAAAGGUGGUUAGACUUGAUAUAUCUCGUCCUGUCAAGGUAACACAUGAAAUGGACCAUCAGAAGUCAAAGUCUGUCUUAGUUGACUAGGGUUUCCCUAACAAAAUACCAUAGGCUCACUGGGUUUAUCUACUGAUUCUCAGUUCUGGAACCUGGAAGUAUGAUAUCAAGGCUGGUGUGGUCAGGUUCUGGUGAGGGCUCUCUUUCUGGUUUGGAGAUGGCUGCCUUCUCACUGUGUCCUCUUAUGGGAGGGAGGGAGGGAGGGAGGGAGGGAGAGAGAUAUCUAGAGUGUCUUCCUCUCCUUACAAGGGCAAUAAUCCUAUGAUGAAGGCCCCAACUCUAAGACCUUUUCUAAACUCAGCUCUCUCCCCAAGGCCUCAUUCCCUGACACCAUCUACUAGGGUUUAUAUCUGGAUGUCCUCCUAAAGCCUCAUGUGACCAUUGUGGGAUCUUUGGAAGGUGAUUGGAUUAUGGGAGUUUAUACCUGACUUGCUGGGAGGAGGUGGGGGUGGUGGGAAGAGCUGAGUCACUGGGGGCAUGACCUGGAAGGGUGGGUUUCCCUCCCCGGCUCCACCCUCAUUCUCUCUUUGCUUCCUGGGUGCCAUGACUGGGUGCUUCCACCUGGCCCCUCUGCCUUGGAGCUGCUGGACCAUGGACUGAAACUUUACAAACUAUGAGCCAAAAUAAAGCUCUCUGCCUUCAAGUUUUAGGUGUUGGGCAUUGUGUCACAGUGACAAGGAAAGUGACUAAGACACCAUCACAUGGGGGUUGAGACUUCAGCAUAUGAACUUGGGGGUGUCUCAUUCAGUCUACAGCAGUAGUGGUGGUGAAAGCUGUCAUUUCCCACCCCUCCAAGCACAGAGGAGUCUUCAGUCCCCAGCCAAUUCCUAAAAUCCAAGCCCCUGACCUCAGCUCCCCCAUCCAGCGGCCCCAGGUACCCUCUGCCCCAUCAGCGAGCCUGCUCCAUUCAUUGAGAAUUCACAGAUGCUGUUUGGACAGUGAGAGUGAAAACCAGCAGGUCCAUGAGAGUGAUCCAGGGCUGUCCAGGAUCUGGCUUACAUGUGACCCUGCCACCUGCUCACUCUGGGGCCUCACCCAACUUCCUUAACCCCUCGAGCCUUUUCAUUUGUAUGAAAGGAGUCAUCACAAUCUCCAUCUUGGUUGUGUGAGGAUCUGGUGAGACUGUGCUUCUGAACUCAUCUUUCCAAAUUCUUCACCCUCCUCAUGGGGGUAGAUGAGCCCAAGGGGAAACCAGGAGUCAGGGCUGAACUGAUGGAGAAUGUCUUUGAAGGUGGAAACAUCAGUCUGGAAAAAAGAGCUUAUUUCUAGGUUCCUUUCUCAGCUAGAGGGAGGAAGGUUUGGACCGAAAAGCAAACAUUUUCUCUUGUGCCACACACUGAGACUACUUUGGAUGGAAUUCUGCAUCACAUCAUGUCCUGCCUGAUUCCUGACUCCACACCCUUCUCAUGUCCACAGCCGAGAUCCCAUUGCCCACCUCUGUAGCCUCCACCCCAGCCCUGACAUCAGGCAGAAUCUGCAGAGACCAAGGAGGUAUCUUUCUCUUCCAUCUCUCUCUGCUUCUGGUUUGCCAUGCCAUGAGCAGCUGUCCUCUCACCAUGCAUUGCUGCAUUUAAACCUACUGACCAUGGACUGAAACUUCUGAAACUGUGAGCCUAAAUAAACUUCUUUAAAUUGCAGAUAUUGGGCAUUUUGUUCUAGUGAUGAGGAAAGUGACUAACACAGUUGAAUUCUUGAACAACUCUUAAAUAAAAAAAUGCACCUUUUGAACUGAAUAUACACAAGAAAUACUGUGUUAAAUUCUGGGAUUUGAGAGUUAACAUGUUUCUGCCAUCACGAAUACAAAUGAAGUGGGGCUUUGUGGUCCAGGUGAAGGAGCUUGGACUUGAUUUUUAUAGAUGGCUGGACUUAUGGGGGUCUUAACUGCAAGCAAAAGGAACAGCUCUAGAAGAUGUAGUUGUCUCUUGGUGUCCAUGAGGAAUGGGCUCGGGGACCCCCAUGGAUACCAAGGUCCAUGGGUGCCCACAUCCUUUAUAUAAAGUGGUGUAGCAUUUUCACAGAACCUACACACAUUCUCCUGUGGACUUUAAAUCAUCUCAGAUUGCUUAUGGUGCCCUCCACAAUGUAAAUGCCAUGUAAAUAGUGUUAUAGUGUGUUGUAGUCUCUGUAAUAAUAACAAGAGAAAAAAGUCUGUAUGUGUUCAGUACAGGUGCAAUUUUUUCCUAAGUAUUUUCAGUGGUUGGCUGAAUCACGAAGGCAGAAGCCACAUACGGAAGGCUGAUUAUAUCAACAAGAAAGGAAUGAACUAAAAGGACACUGGGUAGCUCUUGAAUGGCCAGCAAGACCAGGAGCUGGGACUGCUCAAUGGAAAGCUGCAAAAGGAGAAUACACAGCCAGAGCCCCAGCAUCCCUCUGUGAUGCUCCUCUGCCACGCCGGCCUGCCUUGGAGCCAGCCAACUAUAGACCGAAACCUCUACAAACUGUCCAUAUCAGGAGGUCUGCGGUGGAAGGCUGAAGGAUCUAUGCUGGAAGCUGAAGAGUUUGAGCUGGAAGCCAGGAGAUGACUUCCAAGGUGAAAAAACUGGAGCAGGCCCUGGACUAAGCAUUUAAGAUUCAGCGAUGAGUUGGACAAUAUCUCUGCCCUCAGAAAAAGCCUGGUCUAGUGAGGAACUAGAACAUGACCCAAAAAUUACAAGAGUGCCCAGCACUAGGACACAGUUAUUUGUGUAUUUUGAAUAUUGGUUGAAUGAAGAAAGAAAAAGAUAAAUGGCUGUUGAGUAUAAGGAGGAGGCAAUCCGUGAGGGCUGCACGAAGGCCACAUGGAAAAGCACUGCUGUCACCACCUCGCCAGGCCCUUCCAGACCAAGGCCUAUGCCAAGCCCAAGAGAGACAGCCUUGCCACACAGAGGAAGCAAACCUGGCAGGAGUUAGAAGAGCUCAGAAACCUGCGAAUGGUCCUUUCAGGGUUCCAGAGCAGCUUCUCUCUGCACCAGCCUGGGGCUGCUCCCUUCAGGACCCCGCACUGCAAGGAAGGAAUCCCUCAGGUCAGGACUGAGGAGCACACUGUGGUUACCACAGAGGCUGAUUUUCUGGGAUCCUUGGCUGCCAUGCUUUUUUUUUUUUCUUUUCUGUUACCGGGGAUUGAAUUUAGGACCUUGCACUUGCCAGGCAGGUGCAGCGCCACUGAGGUGCAUCCCCAGCCCUGCCAUGCUCUUUAAUCCCCAGAACUUCCCAGGCAAUCACUAUGGCCUGUUGGAAAAGCAAGUGACCAGUGAACAUUCAAGUCUUCCUCCUAAAGCUGGGAAUUUGAGCUUGAAUCUCAG
ensembl:lncRNA